GAUAAACUUCAUGAUGACACCAUUUUUGGCAUACUGGCACAAUGCUUCGAUAAGGGUUUCAACUGAAACAUGUACAUCAUCCUGCCGGCAAGAAAGCAAGCUCUGUGUCUGCGUGGGGAAGAUCACAGUUUCACUGUACUGCAUUCCAGAAAUAGCAGGGAAAUUUGUCAAGGUUUUCUGUACAUUCUCUCCUUUUCUCCUACAUACGAACCUAUGCAAUCUUCUAAGAACAGGGAGAGAUGCCAAAAUGAACACAGUGAUGUAAUGGUCUGUGAUGCUGGGGUAAGGCAGAACUGACUCUGCAUCUUGUUACUGUAGUAUAUGGUCUGUUUGUUAUAUAAUAGGUCUGUAAGCCUAUCCCAGUCAUGACCAAAUAUAUGUAGUUAAAUACAUCUAAAUUUAACUUCCAGAGACAUCUGAAUUUAGCAACAGACUGGCCACCUAUUUGAGAGGCCAGUUUUUCUCCUCCCUAAUCACCUUUAUAAAUGGAAAUCCACUAUAUAUCGUUCUGAGGGUGGGUAAAGGAGACAGCUCCUUAACUAUUUUGUAAACCAUGGUGAGGUGAGAAAUCCACAGUGAGGCAUGAAAAUGUGAGGUGCUUGAGACAUGGACCAUUGUAUUUUACUGCAACACCUAAUGUUUGCAUUGCUUUCUAAAAUGUAUUUCUGUAACUUUGCAGUCAUUAUUCAAAGACGCAAGUUGUAUAUAGAUUUAAUUAUAAAUAGUAUUGUUGUUAUUUUUCCAGAUUCAGAAAGGGAUUUUAAAUGCUUUAUAGGUGUAUCUAAACCAAAAGUGUUAAAGAAAAAUUACAGGAUCUCUUUUUUUUUUUUUUUUUUUAAUUAGAACAGUCAGAGGCUACAUCCUGCACACUGUCUCAAGCAUAAAUGUAUGCUAUUAACUGCAUUACUUUAAGGAACACCAGCAAGUGAGUAUCAAACUGCUUCCCACUGACCCUCAAAGUCUCUAAGUUUCAUCUGCAGCUAAAAAAGAGUGCCUGUUUCCUUGAGAGAGAC
rnacentral:lncRNA from 1 species